UGUAUCUGAAAGGGCCAUUCCAGUGAAGACGAGUAGGGCGGGGCACGUGAAACCCUGUCUGAACAUGGGGGGACCAUCCUCCAAGGCUAAAUACUACUGACCGACCGAUAGUGAACCAGUACCGUGAGGGAAAGGCGAAAAGAACCCCGGAGAGGGGAGUGAAAUAGAACCUGAAACCGUGUGCGUACAAGCAGUAGGAGCUCCGCAAGGAGUGACUGCGUACCUUUUGUAUAAUGGGUCAGCGACUUACUGUUCGUGGCAAGCUUAACCGUAUAGGGGAGGCGAAGGGAAACCGAGUCUGAUAAGGGCGCAUAGUCGCGGGCAGUAGACCCGAAACCGGGUGAUCUAGUCAUGCCCAGGGUGAAGGUGCGGUAACACGCACUGGAGGCCCGAACCCACUCCCGUUGCAAAGGUAGGGGAUGAGGUGUGAUUAGGAGUGAAAAGCUAAUCGAACCCGGAGAUAGCUGGUUCUCCUCGAAAGCUAUUUAGGUAGCGCCUCAUAUGUAUCCUCUCGGGGGUAGAGCACUGUUAUGGCUAGGGGGUCAUCGCGACUUACCAAACCAUUGCAAACUCCGAAUACCGAGACGGACUGUAUGGGAGACACACGGCGGGUGCUAACGUCCGUCGUGAAAAGGGAAACAACCCAGACCCACAGCUAAGGUCCCAAAUUCACUGCUAAGUGGAAAACCAUGUGGAAAGGCACAGACAGCCAGGAGGUUGGCUUAGAAGCAGCCACCCUUUAAAGAAAGCGUAAUAGCUCACUGGUCGAGUCGGUCUGCGGGGAAGAUUUAACGGGGCUAAGCAGUG
rnacentral:rRNA from 1 species